UACGUAGGGACCAAGCGUUGUUCGGAUUUACUGGGCGUAAAGGGCGCGUAGGCGGCGCGGUAAGUCACUUGUGAAAUCUCUGAGCUUAACUCAGAACGGCCAAGUGAUACUGCAGUGCUAGAGUGUGGAAGGGGCAAUCGGAAUUCUUGGUGUAGCGGUGAAAUGCGUAGAUAUCAAGAGGAACACCUGAGGUGAAGACGGGUUGCUGGGCCAACACUGAUGCUGAGGCGCGAAAGCCAGGGGAGCAAACGGG
rnacentral:rRNA from 1 species